UACUGAUUAUACUGUGGGGACGAAAGUCUCUGCUUUUAACUAGAUAGCAACUUUCAGCAGUGGAUGUCUAGGCUCGCACAUCGAUGAAGAACGCUGCGAACUGCGAUACGUAAUGCGAAUUGCAGGAUUCAGUGAGUCAUCGAAAUUUUGAACGCAUAUUGCACUUCCGGGUUAGUCCUGGGAGUAUGCCUGUAUCAGUGUCCGUACAUCAAACUUGGCUUUCUUCCUUCCGUGUAGUCGGUG
rnacentral:rRNA from 1 species